rnacentral:rRNA from 1 species
AGAAUCAACGCUGGCGGCGUGCCUAACACAUGCAAGUCGCACGAGAAAGGGGCUUCGGCCCUGAGUAAAGUGGCGCACGGGUGAGUAACACGUGAAUGAUCUACCUCCGAGUGGGGAAUAACUGAGAGAAAUCUUGGCUAAUACCGCAUAAUACCCACGGGUCAAAGCAGCAAUGCGCUUGGAGAGGAGUUCGCGGCAGAUUAGCUAGUUGGCGGGGUAAUGGCCCACCAAGGCGAUGAUCUGUA